rnacentral:rRNA from 1 species
GAAUUGACGGGGACCCGCACAAGUAGCGGAGCAUGUGGUUUAAUUCGAAGCAACGCGAAGAACCUUACCUAAGCUUGACAUCCCAAUGACAUCUCCUUAAUCGGAGAGUUCCCUUCGGGGACAUUGGUGACAGGUGGUGCAUGGUUGUCGUCAGCUCGUGUCGUGAGAUGUUGGGUUAAGUCCCGCAACGAGCGCAACCCUUGUCUUUAGUUGCCAUCAUUAAGUUGGGCACUCUAGCGAGACUGCCAGGGAUAACCUGGAGGAAGGUGGGGAUGACGUCAAAUCAUCAUGCCCCUUAUGCUUAGGGCUACACACGUGCUACAAUGGGUAGUACAGAGGGUUGCCAAGCCGUAAGGUGGAGCUAAUCCCUUAAAGCUACUCUCAGUUCGGAUUGUAGGCUGAAACUCGCCUACAUGAAGCUGGAGUUACUAGUAAGCGCAGAUCAGAAUGCUGCGGUGAAUGCGUUCCCGUGUCUUGUACACACCGCCCGUCACACCACGGGAGUUGGAGACGCCCGAAGCCGAUUAUCUAACCUUUUGGAAGAAGUCGUCGAAGGUGGAAUCAAUAACUGGGGUGAAGUCGUAACAAGGUAGCCGUAUCGGAAGGUGCGGCUGGAUCACCUCCUUUCUAAGGA